GGUGAACGUUGGCGGUGCGCCUAAUACAUGCAAGUCGAGCGAGAAAGUCCAAACCCGCAAGGGGGAGGGCGAGUACAGCGGCGAACUGGUGAGUAACACGUGAUCAACCUACCUCUCCGACAGGGACAACCUCUGGAAACAACGGCUAAUACCUGAUGGCGUUGCUUGCCCACAAGGGCGAGCAAAUAAAGGAAGCUUCGGCCUCCGCUUCGGGAGGGGCACGCGGCCCAUUAGCUUGUUGGUGAGGUAACGGCUCACCAAGGCUGCGACGGGUAGCUGGUCUGAGAGGACGAUCAGCCACACUGGGACUGAGACACGGCCCAGACUCCUACGGGAGGCAGCAGUGGGGAAUCUUGCGCAAUGCGCGAAAGCGGGACGCAGCAACGCCGCGUGGGGGAAGAAGGCCUUCGGGUUGUAAACCCCUUUCAGGAGGGACGAAGCCUCGGGAGUGAAUAGCUUUCCGGGGUGACGGUACCUCACGAAGAAGCCCCGGCUAACUACGUGCCAGCCGCCGCCGUAAAAC
rnacentral:rRNA from 1 species